rnacentral:rRNA from 1 species
UGAGAGAUUCCCCCGGAGCGUUGGGGGAAUUAAUCCUUAAUUGUCCGAGGAGAAAUCCUUGGAUUUAUGAAAGAUUAACUUCUGCGAAAGCGUUUGCCAAGGAUGUUUUCAUUAAUCAAGAACGAAAGUUAGGGGAUCGAAGACGAUCAGAUACCGUCGUAGUCUUAACCAUAAACGAUGCCGACCAGCGAUUAGGAGACGUUGAAUACAAAACACCGCUGUUAAUCCUUUCGGGGAUUAAUAGUUGGUGAAUGAACUCCCUAGCAGCUUGUGAGAAA